UAGAUAUCUGGGUCCACAGCAGACACUGAUUCAAACCCUGGGAAGUGGGGUGUGGCAUAGCCACUUCUUUCUGAUGGCUGUCCAUGUUAAAACGUAUUGCUAGUGUGUUUGAUAUUCUGUCUUCCAGGAUAUGAAGUCACAGACUGCUUAAGUCCAUACCAUGUUCUCUUGUUACUGCCUUAAAUACCAGUGUGUUGCAUGGCAUAUCAAAUAGACAAAUCAAUUCCUUCGUGUACGUUUAUCCAGAUAUUCACAUAGUGGCCUCUUUAGUGAACACCUUGUUCCUGCACUGUGAAGACUAGCACGGGUCCUUGUAUAUCGUGUUAGAUAGGCAAACUGUCAGUAAGCAGAAGAAAUCAGUAAUCACAGCAAUUCCGUGUAUUAUUGGCGCUUUAAAGAUCAUAAAGGGGACAGGAAAUAGUUGUGAUGGGGAUUGUCGUAUGUGAUGUUACCCCCAAAGGUUUCAGAAGUUAGCAUGUGAUCUGAGUCCUGAAUGGCAAAUAGAAGCAAGACCGUGCACAAACCAAGUUGUGGGCGUGCUUGCUUCCAUGGAGAACAGUGGAUCUAAGAGCAGAGAACAAGGCUAGUUGCCAGAACCUUGAAGACAACGUGGACACUGCUUGGGGAUAGGACAGAAAGGAAAAUGUUGUCAUUGUCAGCUGUGUAUGACAUUUGGAUUAUAUGAUCUGUGUGGAAGGGUCUGGGUCAUUGGCUGUGCACACACAUCCACAGACAGUACAACAACAGCCUCUAGUCCCUUGUUGCUGACCUUUGGGAAGCUGGGCAUGUAAGGCCAUACAUGAUCUACAGUGUACUUGUAGAGGUCAGAGGACAACUUGCAGGAGUCAUUUCUCUGCUUCCACAAUGUGAGUCCUGGGGAUCCAACUGAAGUCAUCAGAAGCAGUACUCGGGCUUCUAUUACACUUUAAUACGAUCUACAUAUAAGAACAGGGGAGAAAACAGUGAACUUUCCAUGCAGAACCAACUCCUGGAGAAGAACCAAAUGUGGUGUGGUCUGGUCAGCCUGUUACCUGAGCAAGAGUGACAAGAUCAUGUGGGACUCACCAGGGUUGGUACAUGCACACAGAAGAACCAAGACUGUGGAAUUCUUGGCCCAUCUGUUGGCUCACCAGGCAAAGGUGCUUACAGCCCAGCCCAAUGAGUUUGAGGCCUGGAACCUACUUGGUGGAAGAAAAGAGCCAACUCCUGUAAAUUGUCCUCUGAUCUUGAACACACUACAUCCCAGCACAAUAAAUAUAUACAAUAAAUUCUUGUUAAAGCUAUGAAUUUUUCUACUGCUCAAGGAAGCAGUCCCUCUUCUCCCGCUGUCCACACUGCUCAGGGCAGAGGUGACCAUGUUCCCAGUUUCCCUAGAGCCUUUCCUUCGGGAACCCUGACCCUGAGGCGGUGUUUCACAAUGUUCCUUCCAUCCCUGCUCUUGCAGGGUGAGGUAAGUGUCCAGGUGGCCGCAGAAAUGGGAAGAGUCUGGUCCUCCCAGUGGCUGAGAUGAGCAGCCUCUCUUGCCACACAACCUCCACAAGAGGAAGAUGCAGAUGAGAUUAAGAAAAAACAAGGGGAAAACGUGGCAGGAGCCUUCAGUAUUCCUUCCAUACCAGGUGACAGGCGGGCUUGGAGUCCAGCCCUCUGAAGAAUGUCAGAAAGCUCUGGAAUUCAUGUACUUCCCUGAGCUAUGUGGUAGCAGGCCUCACUAUGUUUACAGUGGAAAAUCCCCGCCAGUCGUGUGGGAGCAUAAUAGAGACAGUGAGUUUGUAUGUGCAGGGGCUCUGGAUUGGGGUAUGUGAUAGGAAACAGUCCUGCUGUUCCCACAUGGAUCAGGAGAUGUCUCCUGACUCCAUUUUUAACAGAUUAUUUUAUCACCAUGAAAUGGCAUCUUUUAAAGUUUUUUAAAUGCUUUUUUGUUGUUGUUAAUGAACAGAAACAAAACUUUUCCUCAAAAUAUAACAGGACAGGGAAAAACUUUUCCCAAUUUUCAUUGGUUAUCUUUGCCUUUAGAUUUACUUUAAUCCUGGGGAGGAGGGCUAUGUAUGUGAAUGUCAGUGUCCAGCAGUGUUGGAUCCUGGAGGCUGGAGUUGCACAUGGUUUGAGCUUCCUGUCAUUCGUGCUGGGAUUUGAACUCAGGUCCUCUGGGGAAGCAAGUAUCGCUCCUAACCAAUGAACCAUCUAUGGCCUCAGCUCCCCAAGGGUUAAGGUUAGGGUUAGAGUUAGGUCCUUCUAUGUACCAUAUAGUAUGUGAAGGAUUGCAAUUCUGUAAAAAUCCCUCGGCUCAUUUGAGAGAUAAUCACUGGAAAUGUAAUUUUUCAAAAGCUUUCCUAUUAUGUCCAGAAGAUGCCACGAACCAGAGUGUACUGAUUUUUCUGUUACCCUGAAUGCAUGGAUCCUUGAAUUCCCAUCAGCCGCCACAGUUCUCAUGGCUAUAGACCAACUGUCUAGACAGCUUGUGAUCCUGCCAUUCUGACAUGAAUCAUCAGAUGUUACCUGCCUCCACUGGAGGGUGGGGUUGAGACGGGGUGUCUCUGUAGUUUUGGAGCCCUCCUGGAACUAGCUCUUGUAGAUCAGGCUGGCCUUGAGCUCACAGAGAUCCACCUGCCUCUACCUCCCGAGUGUUGGGAUUAAAGGUGUGCGC